rnacentral:rRNA from 1 species
AUUGAACGCUGGCGGCAGGCCUAACACAUGCAAGUCGAACGAGUGGCGGACGGGUGAGUAAUGUAUGGGACACUGCCUGAUGGAGGGGGAUAACUACUGGAAACGGUAGCUAAUACCGCAUACCAUCGGAUGUGCCCAGAUGGGAUUAGCUAGUAGGUGGGGUAAAGGCGUACCUAGGCGACGAACCCUAGCUGGUCUGAGAGGAUGAACAGCCACACUGGAACUGAGACACGGUCCAGACUCCGACGGGAGGCAGCAGUGGGGAAUAUUGGACAAUGGGCGCAAGCCUGAUACAGCCAUGCCGCGUGUAUGAAGAAGGCCUUCGGGUUGUAAAGUACUUUCAGCGGGGAGGCGUUACCCGCAGAAGAAGCACCGGCUAACUCCGUGCCAGCAGCCGCGGUAAUAC